rnacentral:rRNA from 1 species
GUGCUCUGAUGCUUAUUGCACCACAUGUGUUUUUCUUUGAAACAAACUUGCUUUGGCGGUGGGCCCAGCCUGCCGCCAGAGGUCUAAACUUACAACCAAUUUUUUAUCAACUUGUCACACCAGAUUAUUACUUAAUAGUCAAAACUUUCAACAACGGAUCUCUUGGUUCUCGCAUCGAUGAAGAACGCAGCGAAAUGCGAUACGUAAUAUGAAUUGCAGAUAUUCGUGAAUCAUCGAAUCUUUGAACGCACAUUGCGCCCUCUGGUAUUCCGGAGGGCAUGCCUGUUUGAGCGUCGUUUCUCCCUCAAACCGCUGGGUUUGGUGUUGAGCAAUACGACUUGGGUUUGCUUGAAAGACGGUAGUGGUAAGGCGGGAUCGCUUUGACAAUGGCUUAGGUCUAACCAAAAACAUUGCUUGCGGCGGUAACGUCUACCACGUAUAUCUUCAAACUUUGACCUCAAAUCAGGUAGGACUACCCGCUGAACUUAAGCAUAUCAAAAGCCGGAGGAA